ACGUAGGGGGCAAGCGUUGUCCGGAAUCAUUGGGCGUAAAGGGCGCGUAGGCGGAUUUUUAAGUCUGGUGUGAAAACUUGGGGCUCAACCCCAAGCCUGCAUUGGAAACUGGAGAUCUUGAGGACAGGAGAGGAAAGUGGAAUUCCACGUGUAGCGGUGAAAUGCGUAGAGAUGUGGAGGAACACCAGUGGCGAAGGCGACUUUCUGGACUGUAACUGACGCUGAGGCGCGAAAGCGUGGGGAGCAAACAGGA
rnacentral:rRNA from 1 species